rnacentral:rRNA from 1 species
UCCUACGGGAUGCAGCAGUAGCAAAUUUUCGUCAAUGGACGCAAGCCUGAACGAGCAAUGCCGCGUGAACGAGGAAGGUCUUCGGAUCGUAAAGUUCUGUUGAAGGGGAAAAAGAGCGGAGAGAGGAAAUGGUCUCCGAUUGAUAUUACCCUUCGAGGAAGUCACGGCUAACUACGUGCCAGCAGCCGCGGUAAUAUGUAGGUGGCGAGCGUUAUCCGGAAUGAUUGGGCGUAAAGGGUGCGUAGGCGGCCUGCUAAGUCUGGAGUGAAAGGUACCGGCUCAACCGGUACAGGCUAUGGAAACUG